UACGUAGGGUGCGAGCGUUGCCCGGAUUUAUUGGGCGUAAAGGGCGCGUAGGCGGCUCGGCACGUCCGUUGUGAAAUCGCCCGGCUCAACUGGGCGGGGUCAGCGGAUACGGUCGAGCUUGAGCAAGCUAGGGGGCAAUGGAAUUCCCGGUGUAGUGGUGGAAUGCGUAGAUAUCGGGAGGAACACCAGUGGCGAAGGCGGUUGCCUGGAGCUUUGCUGACGCCGAGGCGCGAAAGCGUGGGGAGCGAUCCGG
rnacentral:rRNA from 1 species